rnacentral:rRNA from 1 species
GGAGGACCGAACCGACUAAUGUUGAAAAAUUAGCGGAUGACUUGUGGCUGGGGGUGAAAGGCCAAUCAAACCGGGAGAUAGCUGGUUCUCCCCGAAAGCUAUUUAGGUAGCGCCUCGUGAAUUCAUCUCCGGGGGUAGAGCACUGUUUCGGCAAGGGGGUCAUCCCGACUUACCAACCCGAUGCAAACUGCGAAUACCGGAGAAUGUUAUCACGGGAGACACACGGCGGGUGCUAACGUCCGUCGUGAAGAGGGAAACAACCCAGACCGCCAGCUAAGGUCCCAAAGUCAUGGUUAAGUGGGAAACGAUGUGGGAAGGCCCAGACAGCCAGGAUGUUGGCUUAGAAGCAGCCAUCAUUUAAAGAAAGCGUAAUAGCUCACUGGUCGAGUCGGCCUGCGCGGAAGAUGUAACGGGGCUAAACCAUGCACCGAAGCUGCGGCAGCGACACUAUGUGUUGUUGGGUAGGGGAGCG